rnacentral:rRNA from 1 species
ACGUAGGGUGCAAGCGUUAAUCGGAAUUACUGGGCGUAAAGCGUGCGCAGGCGGUUUGAUAAGUUGGAUGUGAAAGCCCCGGGCUCAACCUGGGAAUUGCAUCCAAGACUGUCAAGCUAGAGUACGGGAGAGGGGGGUAGAAUUCCACGUGUAGCGGUGAAAUGCGUAGAGAUGUGGAGGAAUACCGGUGGCGAAGGCGGCCCCCUGGAUCGAUACUGACGCUGAGGUGCGAAAGCGUGGGGAGCAAACAGG